UUACCAAAUCUUGACAUCCUUUGAAAACUCUAGAGAUAGAGCCUUCCCCUUCGGGGGACAAAGUGACAGGUGGUGCAUGGUUGUCGUCAGCUCGUGUCGUGAGAUGUUGGGUUAAGUCCCGCAACGAGCGCAACCCUUAAGCUUAGUUGCCAUCAUUAAGUUGGGCACUCUAGGUUGACUGCCGGUGACAAACCGGAGGAAGGUGGGGAUGACGUCAAAUCAUCAUGCCCCUUAUGAUUUGGGCUACACACGUGCUACAAUGGACAAUACAAAGGGCAGCUAAACCGCGAGGUCAUGCAAAUCCCAUAAAGUUGUUCUCAGUUCGGAUUGUAGUCUGCAACUCGACUACAUGAAGCUGGAAUCGCUAGUAAUCGUAGAUCAGCAUGCUACGGUGAAUACGUUCCCGGGUCUUGUACACAC
rnacentral:rRNA from 1 species